rnacentral:lncRNA from 1 species
GUUUAAGCUCCAGGUGUGACUAAUGCAUUACUGUUUUAUAUGUUAUAUUGUACUUUUUUAAAAUUUAUUUUGUGAUUUAUUUUGUAGGCAAGGUGUUUUUUUCACCGUUUAUCAUAUAUUCAAUUUACUGUAAUUUAUAUCUGUAACUCAUGAUUUUCUCCACCUGUUUUUCAGGAUCUGAAUCAGCUGUCACUGUAGUGGAGGUGGAGCUUAAUGGUACUGCUGUUCUGCCCUGUACUGAGAGCUGUUCUGGAGUGAUCAGCUGGACUCCCUCUCAUAAAUCCACUGAUAUUCUGGCUGAGUGUAAUCAGACUUCCUGCAGAUCAGUGAAGGAGGGAUAUCAGAUGAUCCAUGAUCAAUACCGGAAGGGGAAUCUCUUUCUGAUCAUCACUGAAGCUGGUUACAGUAAGAGAGGACGUUACACCUGUAAAUGUGAUGGUACAGAUCACUGUGCCGUGGAGCUUCAGAUUGAGCCUCCUAUCAUUCCAGUUGAGAUAAAGCCUGGUGAUUCUCUGGUGAUGGAGUUGGAUGUAUCAGAUCCAGUGGAGGUGAUUUAUAUCAGUACAGAAGCAGCUGGUCGAUCCAGUGGUCAGAUCUGUACAGUUAUUGGAGGAUCACUGCAGUGUAAAUCUAAAUAUAAACACAGAACAUCUCUACCAUCAUCAUCUGUUCUGGAGCUGAGAGGACUGAACAAGUCUGAUAGAGGAGUUUACAUCAUCCGGAACACCAAGAAUAAUGAGGAUAUUUACAUCUACACUGUGAUCAUGAGUGAAGGUAUGAAUAUAAUAGGAUUUAUCUGCAGUAAUUGAUUGUUAAUGUCAGUGUCAGACUCGGCAUACAGUAGAUUG